rnacentral:rRNA from 1 species
GUGCCAGCCGCCGCGGUAAUACGUAUGUCCCGAGCGUUAUCCGGAUUUAUUGGGCGUAAAGCGAGCGCAGACGGUUGAUUAAGUCUGAUGUGAAAGCCCGGAGCUCAACUCCGGAAUGGCAUUGGAAACUGGUUAACUUGAGUGCAGUAGAGGUAAGUGGAACUCCAUGUGUAGCGGUGGAAUGCGUAGAUAUAUGGAAGAACACCAGUGGCGAAGGCGGCUUACUGGACUGUAACUGACGUUGAGGCUCGAAAGUGUGGGUAGCAAACAGGAUUAGAUACCCUGGUAGUCCACACCGUAAACGAUGAACACUAGGUGUUAGGAGGUUUCCGCCUCUUAGUGCCGAAGCUAACGCAUUAAGUGUUCCGCCUGGGGAGUACGACCGCAAGGUUGAAACUCAAAUAAAUUGGCGG